GUUCCAUUUCAAACAAUGGGACAGUCGAAAGCCAAAUGCUAUAUUCAAAAUUCUGUUUAUCUAUUGUAAUGUACUGGACAUUUAUUUUUGUGUGUUUUCAAAUUAUUUUCCGAAACCUACUUGUGAGUGUAUAGGCGGCCAUUGCAGCACAUAUUGUCUCGGAGUUGGCUGUGAAGCGGGUUGUCGCAGCUUUUCAUGUCGAUAUGUGGUCAACGGAAAGAACGACCUCGGCGGAGGAACGUGGAGCGAACACUACCCACAAUAUGAUACUGCUAACAUUAGAAGACCGAACUAAUAUAUUUCAUGGAUAACAAAAUAAUGUAUUUUUAAUUUAGUUGUGUUUUAUUGCGUCAUUAUGAAAUUUUUAUCUUUCUAAUAUAAUAUGGUAAUACUGAAAUUCCACAACA